CGGUGAGCAUGUGGUUUAAUUCGAUGCAACGCGAAGAACCUUACCUACUCUUGACAUCCAGAGAACUUUCCAGAGAUGGAUUGGUGCCUUCGGGAACUCUGAGACAGGUGCUGCAUGGCUGUCGUCAGCUCGUGUUGUGAAAUGUUGGGUUAAGUCCCGCAACGAGCGCAACCCUUAUCCUUUGUUGCCAGCGGUUCGGCCGGGAACUCAAAGGAGACUGCCAGUGAUAAACUGGAGGAAGGUGGGGAUGACGUCAAGUCAUCAUGGCCCUUACGAGUAGGGCUACACACGUGCUACAAUGGCGCAUACAAAGAGAAGCGACCUCGCGAGAGCAAGCGGACCUCAUAAAGUGCGUCGUAGUCCGGAUUGGAGUCUGCAACUCGACUCCAUGAAGUCGGAAUCGCUAGUAAUCGUAGAUCAGAAUGCUACGGUGAAUACGUUCCCGGGCCUUGUACACACCGCCCGUCACACCAUGGGGGUGGGUUGCAAAAGAAGUAGGUAGCUUAACCUUCGGGAGGGCGCUUACCACUUUGUGAUUCAUGACUGGGGUGAAGUCGUAACAAGGUAACCAAGGGCGAAUUCUG
rnacentral:rRNA from 1 species